UUCUGCACGCCCAGGCAGACUUCACCACAACCUACGAGACGACAAAAGUAGGAAGUCAACUGUCCUACACGUGUGUUGUCAACUUCCACCCAUUUGGUAACAAAACCUGUCUCCCAGACGGAAAGUGGUCUGACUUCAAAUGUGAACCUGAUGUCUGUCCUGCUUUCUGUGACCCAUCACAAAACAAGUGUUACUCCAUCUUUUAUGAUGAGAAAAAAAACAUGGACUGAUGCCCUAGCAACCUGCGUGGUCAAUGGAUCUCUGGUUGAUAUAAAAACACCCUCGGAUUACAGUUUCUUAAACAAAACAGUGUGGAGAGGAGAGAUAUUUUGGAUUGGCCUUAAUAACAUCAAUGACGUCGACGCUUGGACGUGGACAGAUGGAACAACCGUCAGUUUCUAAAAAUGGGGGACGUCCUCUUCUGACCCUAAUAAACACUGCGUGAUCUGGGACAGUACUAGCGGGAAAUACGAAACUAGAGAUUGCAACGAGGUACACCUGUACAUAUGCCGAAUUUAUCCGGCUAAUACUGUGGAAUUCUUCGUCGUACGCUCAGACAGGGACCCCAGUGACUCGACCAAAAGCUGCUGUAUCUCGUACGUUCUCCAAG